UGACACACUUCCUUAUGGUGGAGGAAUUCAGAAGAUUACUGGAAAAUAGGAGUUUACUCCUGAGUCUGAAUUUAUCUGUCAACAUCACAGACAUUGAUAUCACAACAGUCUGCUCCUUAAAUGGUUCCAGCUUCCAGUGCAGAUGUGAGGAGCAGUUUUCUUGGUCGUAUAACUCUUGUAUAGCAUAUGGAGCCUGUGGUCAGAUAACUAACAAAACGUGUGGAUGCAUCAAUAAUAUUCCAUCUGACGGCCAGUACUGCCAGCCAAAGGAAGAUUCAACCCCUCCUACAACACCAGAUGUGAAUAAAACAGCUGAAACAACACCAGCA